rnacentral:rRNA from 1 species
AGAGUUUGAUCCUGGCUCAGGAUGAACGCUAGCGGCAGGCUUAAUACAUGCAAGUCGAGGGGCAGCGGGGGUAGCAAUACCUGCCGGCGACCGGCAAACGGGUGCGGAACACGUACACAACCUUCCUUUAAGCGGGGGAUAGCCCAGAGAAAUUUGGAUUAAUACCCCAUAGAAUAAUGAAGAGGCAUCUUUUUAUUAUUAAAGAUUUAUCACUUGAAGAUGGGUGUGCGUCUGAUUAGGUAGUUGGCGGGGUAACGGCCCACCAAGCCAUCGAUCAGUAACUGGUGUGAGAGCACGACCAGUCACACGGGCACUGAGACACGGGCCCGACUCCUACGGGAGGCAGCAGUAAGGAAUAUUGGUCAAUGGACGCAAGUCUGAACCAGCCAUGCCGCGUGGAGGAUGAAGGUCCUCUGGAUUGUAAACUUCUUUUAUCUGGGAAGAAAUGCAUCUUUUCUAAGGUGUUUGACGGUACCAGAUGAAUAAGCACCGGCUAACUCCGUGCCAGCAGCCGCGGUAAUACGGAGGGUGCAAGCGUUAUCCGGAUUCACUGGGUUUAAAGGGUGCGUAGGUGGGCAGUUAAGUCAGUGGUGAAAUCUCCGGGCUCAACCCGGAAACUGCCAUUGAUACUAUCUGUCUUGAAUAUCGUUGAGGUAAGCGGAAUAUGUCAUGUAGCGGUGAAAUGCUUAGAUAUGACAUAGAACACCAAUUGCGAAGGCAGCUUGCUAACCGAAUAUUGACACUGAGGCACGAAAGCGUGGGGAUCAAACAGGAUUAGAUACCCUGGUAGUCC